rnacentral:RNase_P_RNA from 1 species
UGGAGAGGAGCGGGCGCUCGCCGGAGGUUCCCUGGUGAACCUCGGGAGGAAAGUCCGAGCUCCGCAGGGCAGGAUGCUGGCUAACGGCCAGUGGGAGCGAUCCCGAGGACAGUGCAACAGAGAAAGACCGCCGCACGCCGCGAGGCCCUGCGGUAAGGGUGAAACGGUGAGGUAAGAGCUCACCGCGGCGCUGGCGACAGCGACGGCACGGCAAACCCCAUCCGGAGCAAGACCCAAUAUGGAAGCGAUGCGGGUCACACCGCGGGAGACCUGGAGCCCGGUCGAUGCUUUCGGGUUGGUCGCUAACGACGUCGCGAGCAAUCGUCGACGCUAGAAGAAUGAGCGCCCCCGGGCGGUGAGCGAUCGCCGCGCGGGACAGAACUCGGCUUACAGCCCUCUCCAUCUC